rnacentral:rRNA from 1 species
UACGUAGGGGGCAAGCGUUGUCCGGAAUCAUUGGGCGUAAAGCGCGUGUAGGCGGUCCGGUAAGUCCGCUGUGAAAGUCGGGGGGCUCAACCCUCGGAUGCCGGUGGAUACUGUCGGGCUUGAGUACGGAAGAGGCGAGUGGAAUUCCUGGUGUAGCGGUGAAAUGCGCAGAUAUCAGGAGGAACACCAAUUGCGAAGGCAGCUCGCUGGGACGUUACUGACGCUGAGACGCGAAAGCGUGGGGAGCGAACAGG